UCCUCCCUCUGGCGGCGCGCCUAACACAUGCAAGUCGAACGGAGCUGAGAGAAGCUUGCUUUUCUUAGCUUAGUGGCGAACGGGUGAGUAACGCGUGAGUAACCUGCCCUGGAGUGGGGGACAACAGUUGGAAACGACUGCUAAUACCGCAUAAGCCCACGAUCCGGCAUCGGAUUGAGGGAAAAGGAUUUAUUCGCUUCAGGAUGGACUCGCGUCCACUUAGCUAGUUGGUGAGGUAACGGCCCACCAAGGCGACGAUUGGUAGCCGGACUGAGAGGUUGAACGGCCACAUUGGGACUGAGACACGGCCCAGACUCCUACGGGAGGCAGCAGGGGGGGAUAUUGCACAAUGGGGGAAACCCUGAUGCAGCGACGCCGCGUGGAGGAAGAAGGUUUUCGGAUUGUAAACUCCUGUCGUUAGGGACGAUAAUGACGGUACCUAACAAGAAAGCACCGGCUAACUACGUG
rnacentral:rRNA from 1 species